rnacentral:rRNA from 1 species
UACGUAGGGAGCAAGCGUUGUCCGGAUUUACUGGGUGUAAAGGGUGCGUAGGCGGCUUUGCAAGUCAGAAGUGAAAUCUAUGGGCUUAACCCAUAAACUGCUUUUGAAACUGCAGGGCUUGAGUGAAGUAGAGGUAGGCGGAAUUCCCGGUGUAGCGGUGAAAUGCGUAGAGAUCGGGAGGAACACCAGUGGCGAAGGCGGCCUACUGGGCUUUAACUGACGCUGAGGCACGAAAGCGUGGGUAGCAGACAGG